ensembl:lncRNA novel transcript, antisense to BRD2
GGUGGCCUCGGUUCCCCUCACCGCCCGGUCCAGCAUAACCCGCUAAGUUGGGGGGAGGCCGUUCCUCUUGGGCCUCCAGGCGACAAACCCCCUGCCUGGCCGGCACGAAAGCAGUCUCUUUGGGGCCUCUCGGAGAGCUCCGGGCAGCUUGGCGCGCUCUGCAGACGGCGGACAGCAAGAAAAUGGCGGCGGCCUCAGCUGAGGCGGGCAACUAAGGAGGGACUGACUCUUCAAAAGACGGUCCCCGAUCUCAGACACCGUCGUCAAUAUAGCCCGCUGUUGGUCUGCAGGGAUUCCCUCUUCUUGUCGGGCCGGGACGAAGGCCAUUUCCAAGCGGAUGGAGGUGGAUUGUAAUGGCGGCCCCGGACGACUCGAAGGCUCUGUAUCGGUAGGCAGAAUCCUCCAGCUCGUUCUAGAGGCUGCUCCACUCCAGCACGAAAUGGCGCCGCCGAGCCCCGCGCCAGCCCUUUAUAUAUAGGCGGGGAGGAGGAGCUUCGCCGCUCAUGCGCGCCACCCUGCUUGAGCUUUUCCCCACCCCCUCCGCGCGCGCGCGCUCGCUCACGCGGGUGAAGAAGCU